rnacentral:rRNA from 1 species
UACGUAGGGACCAAGCGUUGUUCGGAUUUACUGGGCGUAAAGGGCGCGUAGGCGGCGUGACAAGUCACUUGUGAGAUCUCUGGGCUUAACCCAGAACGGCCAAGUGAAACUGUUGUGCUAGAGUGCAGAAGGGCAAUCGGAAUUCUCGGUGUAGCGGUGAAAUGCGUAGAUAUCGGAGAGGAACACCAGAGGUGAAGACGGGUUGCUGGGCUGACACUGACGCUGAGGCGCGAAAGCCCAGGGAGCAAACGGG